GUGGUCGUGGUGAAAUGGUAUCACAGGAGAUUGUGGCUCUCCUAUCACGGGUUCAAUUCCCGUCGACCACC
rnacentral:tRNA from 1 species